UUGGGAUCUGUCAUCAUUGUCAUUGCUGGAUAAAUAAAAUAAAAUAAAUAAAUAAAAAUGGUUUCAAAAAGAAUACUCAAUAGAGUUAUAAUUAAUUGAGAAGGAUAGGAUUGAAUUGUUCUAUGGAAUUCCUUGUUCUAUAGAUAUGAGCUUCUUGACCAACCUAUCCUGGUCUGAUACUUUUCCAAAUUCAGGUCAAGGUCAUGUCGACCAAUAUAAUUCCUAGAUUUGCAAAACUUCAGCAGAUCAAAAAAACAAAACUCAUCAAACCAAACCCUAGCUAGAUCUGUCAUCAUUGACAUUGCUAGCUGGAUUAAAAUGGUUUUAAGACUACUCGAUCAAUAAAGUUAUAAUUGUGACUUGUGAGAGAUAUGAUUCGUUUUCAACACUUUGAAUAAGGUGGUAUGUGUAUUAUUAAUUGAAUUGGUAGCUAAUAUGACACGACCCACCCCAAAUUUCACUCUGAAACCCGGAGUAAGUCGUGCGGGGACCACCUCCAAGGAAAAUUUACUGAAAAAAAAUUAAGCAAAUCUCCCUUGCAGAUGGACAACCCUAACUCGAAAAUUUCAUAUUACACUCUUAAUUCAACACUUCCGAACAUCACAUAAUCAUCCUUCAGAAAUUCUACACAUAAUAUACAAUAAUUCCAAAGUAUUCAGAGCUACUAAACACAAGCGGAAGAAAGAAAACACGAGUAGGUUGAACAGGUAACCUACUGACGAAAACUGGCAGAAAUGCGAGUGACUAUGUCUCGUCUCCUACUAGAUCCAACCCGAACUCUGCAGACUGGGCAAUUUAAAACGAAGGGCCCAGGGGAAAACAUUUAAUAACGUUAGAGUGAGUGGACAAAAAUAAAAUAAUAAAUAUCAUAUUUAUGUUUCCCCAAAUUAAUUUCUAAGGAAAAAUCGAAUGCAUGCCGCAAGCGAUAAAACUUUUAUCCCAUAAAAUAUCGAGCCUCUCAGACUCUAUAAUAUAUGUAUGUAUUUACACUCGUCCAUACUCCCUAUAUAAAUUCAUGGGUCUAUAUAGGGCUACUACGCUCGCGUCCAACGCUCACGUCACGCCUUAAUGCGGUGCUACACUACGCCAUCAAGGUGGACAGACGGGUGUAUAAAUAUAGUGUCCAUACCCCCUAUACUGAAUUAACACUACAAUAGGCUACUACGCUUACGUCCAACGCUCACGUCACACCAUAAUGCGGCUAUAUGCUACGCCAUUAAGGUGGACAGACACAUAUGGCUAGCUAGCAUUUAUAUUACAUACUCUCUCAUAAAAUACAUAUUUAUAUCCACCGAAAAUCCCAUUUUCGGUAACUCUCCAAGAGAAAUAAAAAUCGUCAAAUUUAAAAUGACGUUAAAACACUCCAAGACAUUAAUUGUUCAACCAUGAACUAUAGCAUGCAUUUAUUUAAAAUAAACGUCCACUCACAAAUUAGGCCUAAGCCUGCUGUCGAUCUGGGGUCUCGUCUGCUCGAGCCUCCUCACGUCCUGUACCAAAUAUAAUAUUAAUUUCCCAACCAAUAAUCCAAUAUUUAAUCAAAAUAGGCAAAAUUACCCGAGAGCCAUAAAAAUGCUCAUCAUUGCCUAACUUCGAUAUUCUUAAAUCGGAACGAUCCGAACUUAAAUAUCAUACUCAACAGUCGUAAAUACAACCUCUCCAAAAUACGACUUAAAUCCUACGGCCGGAUUCUACAUUAAUUAACCGCCAAAAAUACCAAACUUCGGAAAUUCACAAACCUAUCCAAAUCUCAUCCAAAAAUUCCAUAAAUCACAUCAAUAUACUCCUCUUAAUAUUCCACACUUAAAACCCUAAAAAUCUCCUAACCGGCGGCGGCCGGAGGUCAAUUCCGGCGACCUCCAAAAUCUAUGAAAUUUUGACAGAAUAAUCCUCUCCUCAAGCUCUACAACUUUCCUAACUAGCACAAACACCAAUUCCAAGCCUAACUAGGGUAAUCGACUAAAAACAUCAAAAACGCCAUAAAACUUCCACCUCAAAUUUCUCCUUACCUAGCUCAAGAGGGAGUGAGUCCUUUUAGGGCAAGGCUGCUGGGUUGGAGGGCUACAAAACCGUACCAAGCUUGCCCGGAUUGGUGGCCGGAGGAGGAAGUUCCGGCGACGUGAUCCCUAACACAGUCGGACCUCUCGGGCCCGAUAUCUCCCUCACGGCGGCGCUAGGGGAGCUGUCACCAGUCCAAGAAGGUUGCUGGGUUGAAGACCGAUCGAUUGGGACCGGUGCGGCGGUCUGGGGCGGCCGGACGGCGGCGAUCUGGCGGUCGGAAAACGGGACAGCGGGAGGGCUCGGGUGCGGGAGCGGGUGAGGAGAGAAAAUCGGGAGGAAAAGAAUGGGUUUGGGCCUCACACCCCAAACCGGUCCAUCACUUAUAAACUAUCCAAAUUCUAAAAUUAAACACCCCGAAAAAUAAUACCCGAAUAAAAAAUUACCUUUUACUAGCUAAAAUUUACCAUUUUUACCGUCGUCGUAUUUUCCUCAUACGAAUAAUCCUCCGCACAUAAUCGUCCCCGAAACCCCUCUAGGGACCAAUUAAACUAUUUACUCAAUGAUCGGGACGGUAAAAUUCUUAUUAUAAUCAGGCUAGUAAAUAAGGUAAAAAUAUAAGGAUCGGGAUGUGACAUAAUACAUAUGAUAUCUGAAAAUGACAUGUACAUACGUAAUAUAGUGGAGUAGCUAGAGACCUGUAAAAUUGAUAUAGCUCCUACCUAGGUAUGAACCCUUCCCCUAUAUAUGAAGCAGAAAAUAACUUUUUUUGGGAUCUGUCAUCAUUAUCAUUGCUAGAUAAAAAUAACUAUUUUUUUGGCAGAUGGCCAAUUGUCAUUAUUGUCAUUGUCAUUAAAAAAUUCAUCAAAGUAUUCCAGAUCGAAUAUCAAAUUCUCUUAUAUUACAUACGUUGAUUUUUUUGUUUUUUUGUUAGGAAGUUCUAGCCAGCCACAACUAGUCUUCUUCUCCUCAAUCCAAAAUUUUUCAAUACUAUGGCGAUGCAAUCACCAGCGCCAAAG
rnacentral:lncRNA from 1 species